rnacentral:misc_RNA from 1 species
GAUGAAGAACGUAGCGAAAUGCGAUAAGUAAUGCGAAUUGCAGAAUUCAGUGAGUCAUCGAAUCUUUGAACGCACAUUGCGCCCUGUGGUAUUCCGCAGGGCAUGCCUGUUCGAGCGUCAUUUCAACCCUCAAGCUCUGCUUGGUGUUGGGCCCUGCCCGCUGCGGCCGGCCCUAAAGACAGUGGCGGUGCCGCCUGGCCCUGAGCGUAGUACAUCUCUCGCUCCAGUGCCCGGUGGUAGCCAGCCAGAACCCCAACUCUCGUGGUUGACCUCGGAUCAGGUAGGGAUACCCGCUGAACUUAAGCAUAUCAAUAAGCGGAGGA